GUGCUCACUUCAGCAGCUCAUAUACUAAAAUUGGGAUGACACAAAAAAGGUUAGCACAGCCCCUGCACAAGGAUGACACGCAGAUUCGUGAAGUGUUCCAUAUUUUU
ensembl:snRNA U6 U6 spliceosomal RNA